rnacentral:rRNA from 1 species
GCUAAGAGAUCGGUCUAUAUCCCAUCAGCUUGUUGGUAGUGUAAGAGACUACCAAGGCAAUGACGGGUAGCGGGUUUGAGAGGAUGAUCCGCCACACUGGUACUGAGACACGGACCAGACUCCUACGGGAGGCAGCAGUGAGGAAUAUUGCACAAUGGGGGAAACCCUGAUGCAGCAACGCCGCGUGGAGGAUGACGCAUUUCGGUGUGUAAACUCCUUUUAUAUGUCAAGAAAAUGACGGUAGCAUAUGAAUAAGCACCGGCUAACUCCGUGCCAGCAGCCGCGGUAAUACGGAGGGUGCAAGCGUUAUUCGGAAUCACUGGGCGUAAAGGACGCGUAGGCGGGAAGCCAAGUCUGAUGUGAAAUCCUAUGGCUUAACCAUAGAACUGCAUUGGAAACUGGUUACCUAGAGUAUGGGAGGGG